GCAACAAAGAAUAUGCACCUAAAACUUCGUGCAGUAGAGAUAUUUUUAAAGUUUGUGUGCUUUGGUUUCGUAUCGGCCUGCGCGGCUUAGUGUAUCUGGAGAACUGAACGCUACGAAGUUCUACGUAAUUGAUGCUAAACGUGACCACGCUGUGAACUGUUGCUAGUUAGCAUCCUGAUGCUAGCAGCGUGAGAGAUUGAGUGGGAAACACCAAGCAGCUGAGAACCUAUCGGCUGUCUCUGAACGCGGACGGAGCCCGAGUACCAGUUUCUUCACGACACUGACGUGAAUCAGCUAAACUGCCUAACUACAGCAUUCUGCAUCCUAACUAGUGCUACGGGACCUAGACGCAACCUUCGUACCCGCCUAUGCCCGUAGAAGGAGAAGCAGCGGGAAAUACUAAAAUGGAAACACACUACUACCAAGCGGGCCAAUCACACCUCCUGUGCUCUGCAUCACCAUGGUUCCUUUUCUGGGGAGGUGUACA